GAUCCUGGCUCAGGAUGAACGCUGGCGGCGUGCCUAACACAUGCAAGUCGAGCGAAGCAUUUUAAAGGAAGUUUUCGGGUGGAAUUUGGAAUGACUGAGCGGCGGACGGGUGAGUAACGCGUGGGUAACCUGCCUCAUACAGGGGGAUAACAGUUAGAAAUGACUGCUAAUACCGCAUAAGCACACAGUACCGCAUGGUACAGUGUGAAAAACUCCGGUGGUAUGAGAUGGACCCGCGU
rnacentral:rRNA from 1 species